UUAAGCUAAUAAGAGCGUAGGGUGGAUGCCUUGGCACUAGGCGCCGAAGAAGGACGUGACAAGCUGCGAUAAGCUGCGGGGAGGUGCAAAUGACCUUUGAUCCGCAGAUAUCCGAAUGAGGGAACUCAGCACGGGUAAAUCCGUGUUAUCCGCACAUGAAUACAUAGUGUGUGGGAAGGGAACCCGGGGAACUGAAACAUCUUAGUACCCGGAGGAAGAGAAAGAAAACGAUCGAUUUCCUGAGUAGUGGUGAGCGAAAGGGAACGAGCCCAAACCGUGGGAUAGAAAUAUUCUGCGGGGUAUGGACCCCAUAGUAACACUUAGUUUUGUAGCAGAAGACGGCUGGAAAGCCGCUCCAGAGAGAGUAACAGACUCGUAGGCGAAACGAAACGAAGGUUCGGGGAAUCCGGAGUACCACAGGACACGCGAAAUCCGGUGGGAAGGCGGGAGGACCAUCUCCUAAGGCUAAAUACGACCUAGUGACCGAUAGAGUACAGUACCGUGAGGGAAAGGUGAAAAGAACCCCGGGAGGGGAGUGAAAGAGAACCUGAAACCCUAUGCUUACAAGCAGACAGAGCACUACUAAAUAGUGUGAUGUCGUACUUUUUGUAGAACGGACCGGCGAGUUACGUUUCGUAGCAGGUUAAGGUAUUCAGUACCGGAGCCAAAGCGAAAGCGAGUUUGAAAUGAGCGAAAGUUGCGAGGCGUAGACCCGAAACCGAUUGACCUAACCAUGUACAGGUUGAAGCAGUGGUAAGACAUUGUGGAGGACCGAACUCACGCCUGUUGAAACAGUCGGGGAUGAUGUGUGGUUAGCGGAGAAAUUCCAAACGAAAUCGGAUAUAGCUGGUUCUCCUCGAAAUAGCUUUAGGGCUAGCCUCUGGAUUAGAGAAUGUUGAAGGUAGAGCACUGAAUAGCCUAGGGGGUUUCACGACUUACCGAAGCUUAUCAAACUCCGAAUGUCAACAGAUUAUACCAGGGAGUCAGACAGUGAGAGAUAAGUUCCAUUGUCAAAAGGGAAACAGCCCAGACCUGCAACUAAGGUCCCGAAGUUACAGUUAAGUGGUAAAGGAUGUGUUACCGCUAAAACAACCAGGAUGUUGGCUUAGAAGCAGCCAUUCAUUCAAAGAGUGCGUAAUAGCUCACUGGUCGAGUAGUAAUGCGCCGAAAAUUAUCGGGGCUAAAACUGUACACCGAAGUUCAGGAAUACACGAUAGUGUAUUGGUAGAGGAGCAAUGUAUGCGGGCUGAAGCGCCAGCGGAAGCGGGCGUGGACUGCAUACAAGAGAGAAUGCCGGUAUAAGUAGCGAGAUCGGAGCGAGAAACUCCGACGUCGAAAGUCUAAGGUUUCCUGGGGAAGGUUCGUCCUCCCAGGGUUAGUCGGGGACUAAGGUGAGGCCGAAAGGCGUAGCUGAUGGACAACAGGUAGAUAUUCCUGUACCGUCCGAUGACGACUAAAUGAAGCAAUGACACAGAAGGAUAGUCCGACCGCGGCGAUGGAAGACCGCGGCCAAAGCAUGAGGCUGGUGCGUAGUGAAGUACGCGUACCAAAGCUGGGUGCUGAUGGGGAGUGAAAACUAGUAGCGAAGCGGAUGAAUUCACACUGGCGAGAAAAGUUGCUAAAUAUGUCUGAAGACGCCCGUACCGCAAACCGACACAGGUAGACGGCAAGAAAAUUGCAAGACGAACGGGAGAACCAUUGUUAAGGAACUCUGCAAAAUGACCCCGUAACUUCGGGAGAAGGGGAGCCUGCGUAAGCAGGCCGCAGUGAAGAGGCCCAAGCGACUGUUUAUCAAAAACACAGGUUUCUGCAAAAUCGCAAGAUGAUGUAUAGGAGCUGACGCCUGCCCAGUGCUGGAAGGUUAAGGGGAAGUGUUAGAGCAAUCGAAGCACAGAACUUAAGCCCCAGUGAACGGCGGCCGUAACUAUAACGGUCCUAAGGUAGCGAAAUUCCUUGUCAGGUAAGUUCUGAC
rnacentral:rRNA from 1 species